AAUCAAUCCCUUGUUAAAUCCUUUUUUAAGUUAAUCUGCACAUCCCCGAGCUUCAUAUUGUUAUAUUAGUAUUCCUCUAUCUCAAAAAACAUUUCCUCCCUUUACAGACAGAUUAAAGCCGCCCUGUGCUUCCAUUCUGUGGGGAUAUUGUGUGUCUCCGGACUCCCCAAUGAGCGGGAGCAGAUUGCUGAUUCGGCAUGCCCUCUACAGGCCAACAGUGGAACUCAGCGUCUCUCGAGAAAGACGACAACUGUCCUCCAACAUCAUCUUAUCACAAACGAAUACACUGCUGCGAGUGGACUCGUGGGAAAAGCUGUCAGCCGCAGAGACAUAGAGUCCCACUGUGAAGUCAGGACCACAGCAGACAUGAAGCUGUCCACAGCAUGCCGUCAAGACCCCACUCUUUGUCCUCUGGAUCCGUCCCUCUUCUGCCCAACCGGGAGAGACACGACUCCAUUCUACUGCAGUUCCAUUCACGCCCACUGACACAAUUAAUCAUAAACUAGUUCAAUCAUACAAAGUAUUCUCAUGAGAAGACGGUGCACAUUUGACGUCAAAUAUAAUCAUCACUGGUGUCCUCCGAGCCAACGUUAUUGGUCACUUGGCUGGUGACCCUGUUGAUCUCUGUGGGGGCCCUGGGAGUCUAUGCAGACCCCACUUGAAAAAAAAGCCGACUUUACCCUUAAGAAACACAAUUGCACGGCCGCAAACAAAACCAUUACAGGAUCCUAUCCCCAAAAACUCUUUUAAUUAAGCAAAGACAGUCGGCGCGACGACAGGACGCUUCUGUGUAAAACUGCGUGACAUUUGGUGGAGGAAAUCAUUUUCAUGGGGCAUUGUUGUCGGCGCUCGUGUGCUUGUUUGCCUGGGUGUUUGUGUGUGUGUGUGUGUGUUUGCCUGUGCAGGGCCGGGUGUGUAUUUGUCUAGCCUUUGAAGGCUCUGCCUUCCCCAGUGUGUCUUUAUUGUGGGGCAGCUGAGGCCCAGCCUGUAGCUCUGUCCAGCACCGGGGCCCAGACACCAGCUGCAUUCACCGUCACAGGCCCUCCGUCGCCUUUUGAUGUCCGCGCUGCUGCCCGGCACCCGGACCACACCAGAGACGCCGCGUAUCCACCAGCCAUCUUGAGUUCAAAAAAGAAAAAAGGAGGAGAGACAGAAACAACUCACUCCUAGUUCUGUGUUUUUUUAUUAUCUAACGGGAGAGGAGAAUUUGUUUGAUAUCUGUGGACAAAAAACAAGCUGUUGGGGUCUG
ensembl:lncRNA